rnacentral:misc_RNA from 1 species
AACGAGGCCGACCUGCGGCUGAGUUACCUGCGGAAGGAUCAUUACCGAGUGUGGCCACCCCGUAAAAAAGGGUGGUGCCUCCCGUCCUUUGCGGGCCCUUUAGGGGGCUUUUUGACUUUGCUUCGGCGGGGCUGCCCCGCCGGAACACCCUCAAGAAAAUCUCGAAAAAAAUUGGUUCCGUCCGAGGGCUUUUGAAUAGCAAAAAACUUUUAACAAUGGAUCUCAGAUCGGAAGAGCACA